CACGAGCUCACCUUCGGUGUUUCGGCGUUGUUUAAUCAUCCGUAACGCGACGUACGCAUAUUGUAAUGCUGGGCCCGUCGUUAUUACGUGGUAAAAUUCAACUGGUAUUGACGGUGGCACCUAUAAUGCAUCGAUAUAGAUAAUUGCGGUGACAGCGAACUCAACGGUCGUAGUAAAUCUCGGUGGGACAUUAUGCAAUAGCAACAGGAACAGAGCUGCUGGUGAGUCAAGUCAUUCAUUAUGCAUGGAAAACUAGUUUAAUUUCAAUAAUAACAGAAAUUCAAAUUUAUCUUAUAAAUUUAAGACAACAAAAGAAGAAAUUUUAAAACAACAAAUAGUAGUUAAAAUUACAUGAGUAAUUUUAGCUCAGGUUUUAGUCUCUUUUUCUCUCUUUUAUCUUUGUACCUAAAGGAAUUAUUUAAACUUUAUUAGAUCUAAUUUCAAUCAUUAAUGUUUAUAUAAAAUGAGCCUAUACAAUUUCCGACAAGUUUUUAUUUUAGACAAUUAAAACAAACGAUUUUAUUACAUUUAUCUAUGUUUAGAAAAAAUUAAAAAUGUUUGAAUUUAAUACUGUGAAUCACAUCAGAUCAUCAAUAAUAUGUAUAUAUUUAACCGUGACAAGAAAAACAAAAUUAAUUGUUAUUUCCUUAUUACUUAUCCUAUA